rfam:Ipomoea nil DNA, scaffold: scaffold2662, cultivar: Tokyo-kokei standard.
AUUGAUAUGGCCGAGUUGGUCCAAGGUGCCAAAUUAAGGUUCUGGUCCGAAAGGGCGUGGGUUCAAAUCUACUAUCAACA